rnacentral:misc_RNA from 1 species
AAGUCGUAACAAGGUUUCCGUAGGUGAACCUGCGGAAGGAUCAUUAACACGUAUCCAAACGUAAAAAACCCCCCCCGUGAACAUUCAAUCCUGCUCUUGUAACCCGCGUAGUUCGCAAUCUCUGGUAAAUCAUAGCCCGGAAAGUAGUUUUGAUUCAGAGACCUCUGGCUACGUGAGAACAUUGGAACAGUUACAAUCGAGCGGUAGUUUCAUAGGCAUUGUUUCCCCAAGCAGUCAGUGUCUGAAAGUGUCACUGAUUGUGCAGGGAUAGCGCUUCAACGAUUCCUGUAGACCGAACACUCGGGCAGGAGCUAUGCCAAAAGGGUCCCCAUGCCCCCUUAUAACCCCACAGUUUAAUGUGAAGCUCAAUGUAAUACAUUGGGUAAAAAACCGAACAAUGGAUAUCUUGGUUCUC